CACAAAAAGAUGCAAUGCGGAACGACUUUAGUUUGUGGGGAGUUUUUGUUUUUUGCUUUUUAAAGCACCGGAUGGCAGGAUUUUGGGAAAACAAAUCUCAGAAAUGAAGCGCGGGGAAACAACCCCGAGCAGGGAGGACAGCGGGGGAAAGAACGCUUCGUCGCUCCUCUACCAACACCCCUCUUUUGAAACGCUCCGGGGACGGGGACCCGGGGCUGCAGGGAACGAGCACUCCUAAGGCAAGGCAGAGGCAGGCGACAGCAGCCCCGGUCUUCACGCCACAAAUGACGC
rnacentral:lncRNA from 1 species